rnacentral:misc_RNA from 1 species
UCCCCGUUAUCCUGUGCAGUUCAAACCCAGGUAAGGUUCUUCGCGUUGCCUCGAAUUAAACCACACGCUCCGCUGCUUGUGCGGGCCCCCGCCUAUUCCUUUGAGUUUUAACCUUGCGGCCGUAGUCCCCAGGCGGUGAACUUAAUGCGUUAGCUGCGGCACUGAUCGGGUCAAUCCGACCAACACCUAGUUCACAACGUUUAGGGCGUAGACUAC